AAUUUCAACAUGUUGUUUUUUUUAAUCAUUAGACCGUUUUCAAUGCAAAUCGAGACAGGAAGAACACUUUGACUUGGGAAGAAUGGAUCAAGAAAUCAAUGGUGAAGUAACUUAGUUUUUCGAGUAUUUAUUUGAUCUCGAAACUUUUCUGGGGUGGUAUCAAAAUACGAAGUAUAAACCGGUGGCUCGGUCUUCGUUGAUGGGGUUUUUUCUCUUGUGUUGUUUUUCCUUAACUGGCGAGAGUUUUUUUUCAACCCUUUUGCAACCUUUGCAGUUAAAGUUUCGAGAUGAAUUUAGAUUGUGGAAUUGUUGCAUCUCUGAAUUGUUGUAAUUGAUUACUUGCACCUUACUAGUCGACUUUAUUAUUUAA